rnacentral:misc_RNA from 1 species
AACAGUAAACAACCAACGCGUCAUUCGUUGGAACGCAUGCGCAUUCAUAACUCAAGAUAAUGAAGGCGCCAUAGUACUGAGUGCUAUUACACAUUUGGCCUUAUGGGCCUGAGCUAAUCUGUUCUAUAUAUUCCACUCCCAUGUGUAUGGAGCACCCCACCCAUUACCCACAGGCCAAUUUCAUCUGCAGAGCUUUGUUUGCCAUUAACGAUGGCUUCCCGUUCCUUUGUUUGUUGUCCUGCCUUGUUUGUUUCUCUCUGGACGGUGGUAGUGGUUCUGCUGAUCUCACCUGCACAUUCACUCAACUGCACAUCCCAGAAGUUCACCAACCGGCUCUAUGAUAACUGUAUAGACCUGUCCACACUCAACUCCUACCUACACUACACCUACAAUGCCUCCAACUCUUCACUUUCAAUCGCCUUCAAGGCCCCUCCGUCCAAAUCUGAUGGCUGGGUGGGGUGGGCCAUCAACCUCAAUGGUACCGGAAUGGCAGGGGCUCAGGCUCUGGUAGCGAUGAAAAACGAUAGCGUAGUGGUUGUGAAGAAAUAUAGCAUCGCCUCUUACAGUGAUAUUAAGGAGACAUCGAAGCUAGCGGUCGAGACAUGGGACUUGAGUGCAGAUUCCGACUCCAGUGGUAACUUCGUGAUCUUCGCUUCAGUAAAGAUCCCGGAAAGCUUGGCGAAGGUGAACCAGAUUUGGCAAGUGGGUCCGUCGGUGAAAGACGGAUUUCCAGCAAAGCACGAGUUCGCCCAAGCGAAUCUGCAGGCAAUGGGAACACUGGAAUUGGUGGCCUCACAGAGCAGCGGUCGAAAUACUGCAACUGGAGCAGGUACUAAUUCUACUACCCCAACUAACGGCAGUUCUACUAACAGUACUAACGCUGGCUACAAGAUUAACGAGCUGAACGUGAGUUUUCAGUUUGGGCUUUUCGCUCUUCUGGGAAGUGCUCUAGUUUUCUGAUUUGUUGAUUUUGAUUUUAGAACAUUGUUGUAAUUUUGAUGAUUCCUGUGGUAGAGAUUUGGGAUAUUUAAUAUUUAAAAAGUGAAUAAUUACUCUUAUGUGAAAUUUCAUUCUUUCUUCUGAUUCCUG